rnacentral:rRNA from 1 species
GAUGAACGCUAGCGGCAGGCUUAAUACAUGCAAGUCGAACGGUAAGUUUGGUAGCAAUAUCAAACCAAGAGUGACGUACGGGUGCGUAACACGUAUGCAACCUACCUUGUACAGGAGUAUAGCUCGGGGAAACUCGAAUUAACCCUCCAUGAGAUCAUAGAAUGGCAUCAUUUAGUGAUUAAAACUCAGGUGGUACAAGAUGGGCAUGCGUCUGAUUAGAGUUGGCGGGGUAAUGGCCCACCAAGACGAUGAUCAGUAGGGGACCUGAGAGGGUGA